CCUACGGGAGGCAGCAGUAGGGAAUCUUCCACAAUGGGCGAAAGCCUGAUGGAGCAACGCCGCGUGGGUGAAGAAGGUCUUCGGAUCGUAAAACUCUGUUGUUAGAGAAGAAAGUGCGUGAGCGUAACUGUUCACGUUUCGACGGUAUCUAACCAGAAAGCCACGGCUAACUACGUGCCAGCAGCCGCGGUAAUACGUAGGUGGCAAGCGUUAUCCGGAUUUAUUGGGCGUAAAGGGAACGCAGGCGGUCUUUUAAGUCUGAUGUGAAAGCCUUCGGCUUAACCGGAGUAGUGCAUUGGAAACUGGGAGACUUGAGUGCAGAAGAGGAGAGUGGAACUCCAUGUGUAGCGGUGAAAUGCGUAGAUAUAUGGAAGAACACCAGUGGCGAAGGCGGCUCUCUGGUCUGUAACUGACGCUGAGGUUCGAAAGCGUGGGUAGCAAACAGGAUUAGAUACCCUUGUAGUC
rnacentral:rRNA from 1 species